rnacentral:rRNA from 1 species
CCGCGGGAUUAGAGUUUGAUCCUGGCUCAGAAUCAACGCUGGCGGCGCGCUUAACACAUGCAAGUCGAGCGAGAAAGUGGAGCAAUCCAUGAGUACAGCGGCGUACGGGUGAGUAACACGUGGGUCAUAUACCUCUUAGUGGGAAUAACCCUGGGAAACCGGGGCUAAUACCGCAUAAGCCUGCAAAGGGAAAGUAGCAAUACGCUGAGAGAGUAGCCCGCGGCCGAUUAGCUAGUUGGUGAGGUAAUGGCUCACCAAGGCGGUGAUCGGUAGCCGGCCUGAGAGGGCACACGGCCACACUGGCACUGAAACACGGGCCAGACUCCUACGGGAGGCAGCAGUGGGGAAUCUUGCACAAUGGAGGAAACUCUGAUGCAGCGACGCCGCGUGAGCGAUGAAGCCCUUCGGGGUGUAAAGCUCUUUCGGCAGGGACGAUAAUGACGGUACCUGAAGAAGAAGCUGCGGCUAACUACGUGCCAGCAGCCGCGGUAAUACGUAGGCAGCGAGCGUUGUUCGGAAUUACUGGGCGUAAAGAGUGUGUAGGCGGUGCUCUAAGUUCGGUGUGAAAUCUCCUGGCUUAACUGGGAGGGUGCGCCGAAAACUGGAAUGCUCGAACGUGGGAGAGGAAAGCGGAAUUCCUGGUGUAGCGGUGAAAUGCGUAGAUAUCAGGAGGAACACCUGCGGUGUAGACGGCUUUCUGGACCAUUGUUGACGCUGAGACACGAAAGCGUGGGUAGCAAACAGGAUUAGAUACCCUGGUAGUCCACGCCCUAAACGAUGCAUACUUGGUGUCGGCCAUUCAGUUGGUCGGUGCCGGAGCUAACGCGUUAAGUAUGCCGCCUGGGGAGUAC